rnacentral:rRNA from 1 species
UACAGAGGUCUCAAGCGUUGUUCGGAAUCACUGGGCGUAAAGGGUGCGUAGGCCGCACGGUAAGUCAGAUGUGAAAUCUCAGGGCUCAACUCUGAAAUUGCAUCCGAUACUGCCGUGCUUGAGGACUGGAGAGGAGUCUGGAAUUCAUGGUGGAGCAGCGAAAUGCGUAGAUAUCAUGAGGAACGCUAGUGGCGUAGGCGAGACUCUGGACAGUUCCUGACGCUGAGGCACGAAGGCCAGGGGAGCAAACGGG